rnacentral:rRNA from 1 species
AACGAACGCUGGCGGCAUGCCUAACACAUGCAAGUCGAACGAUGCCUUCGGGCAUAGUGGCGCACGGGUGCGUAACGCGUGGGAAUCUGCCUUUCGGUUCGGAAUAACUCAGGGAAACUUGAGCUAAUACCGGAUAACGUCGCAAGACCAAAGAUUUAUCACCGAAAGAUGAGCCCGCGUAGGAUUAGCUAGUUGGUGAGGUAAAGGCUCACCAAGGCGACGAUCCUUAGCUGGUCUGAGAGGAUGAUCAGCCACACUGGGACUGAGACACGGCCCAGACUCCUACGGGAGGCAGCAGUGGGGAAUAUUGGACAAUGGGCGAAAGCCUGAUCCAGCAAUGCCGCGUGAGUGAUGAAGGCCUUAGGGUUGUAAAGCUCUUUUACCCGGGAAGAUAAUGACGGUAUCGGGAGAAUAAGCCCCGGCUAACUCCGUG